AGCGAGGAGCUCUGUCUUGGGUCCCAGAGGAGUCCCAGCUGCUGGAGAGAUGUCAGGGUCUGGAGGUCUCCAGGGCAAAGGAAGUAGAAGUUACUGUGGGACAAGAUCCAGAAUAUUUGUGAGACUGGUUUCAGCUCAAGAUUGGAAGUCAUGAAAAAAAUGCAAUAUCAACUGAAGACUUCUUACUUAGGAAUCUUCACUGAAGAGUCUUCACAUAGAUAUUUGUUGUGCAGAAGGAAUAGUAGACAUCUGGGCCACGUUCUUUGCUUUUCCCUCAGCCUUUUGCAGUUCUGUGUCCUCUCAGUCAGACCUACAUAAAAUAUGCCAGUGCCUCUGCUUUGAGUAAUGCUUCUAACUGUUGGGGAAAAAAAAUGUAAUUUAUUUAGGUUACAUCUGCUAUAUAGAUAGAUCACAUAUCUUGCCACAUGUUUCAGAUGUCUUAACAUUUGGUACAUUAGGUGAAACCAGGCCAACAUCUGUGAGUAUUAGAUCUUGCUAGACUUUGAUUGCUGAUGUACAGAGAGUAGGGUUUGCUCGUUGACCACCUCUGUUCAUCCAGAAGCUGCUCAGAGACCCUUUCCAGAGUGAGGGGUACUGGUUUUGUGCCACUGGUUACUCACAGACCAUGGUAAAGUUUCUCUUGAAAUUAUGUCCCAAAAAUAUUUUAGUCAGUUCUUUAUUCUAUAGCUUGAAGAGAAAAGAUGACAGAUGGUGUUUUCUUUGCCUAACAUGGAGGAGUUGUUUGUGCUGGCAUAGGGUAAAUGAUAUUUCAUUAUUUCUCAAUGAUUUUGUGUGGUUUUGAGUGAGAGCAGGAAAAAAAGGGGUGCUUCAUGAGUUUCACUGCUCUCCAUUAAAGUCUUCUUGCUCAGUCAUACUGCAGCCAUUUCAGUAAAUUCCUGAGGAAUUUUACUUUUUUUCCACUCCUGAUGACAACAGUAGCAUUAUGCUUAAGGUUAAAUAUGAUGUCCUGGUUUAACCCUGACUAUUCAUUUAGCUUUUACUCUGAAGAUUAAAUAAUUCUGUUGUGACAGGAGUGCUUACUGUGGUCAGUGAAAGUUGUGGACAAUAUUGACACCAGUCUGAAUAAUACUAAACUGGUGCAACCUUCAAAACUGGGAGGGGGCAUUGAGAUGGGUAACCCAGUAUGGCCAAAGGGAUAUUCUAUACCAUGGAAGGUCAUGCCCAGUAGGUAAACUGGGGGAGCUGGCUGGCAGGAAACAAUUGCUGCCUGGGCAUCAGUCAAUGUGUGGUGAGCAACUCUGUUGUGCAUCACUCCCUUGUGUCUUAGUUCUCUUUCUCACCUCUCAUUAGUAUUGUAUUACUAUUGAUUUUCUUUAUUUCAGCUAUUAAUCUGUUCUUAUCUCAGGCCAUGUGUUUUUUGUGAUUCACCUCCCAGUCUCACCAGGGGUGGGAGUGAGCCAGCAGCU